rnacentral:rRNA from 1 species
GGUUAAGCGACUAAGCGUACACGGUGGAUGCCCUGGCAGUCAGAGGCGAUGAAGGACGUGCUAAUCUGCGAAAAGCGUCGGUAAGGUGAUAUGAACCGUUAUAGCCGGCGAUGUCCGAAUGGGGAAACCCAGUGCAAUUCGUUGCACUAUCGUUAACUGAAUACAUAGGUUAACGAGGCGAACCGGGGGAACUGAAACAUCUAAGUACCCCGAGGAAAAGAAAUCAACCGAGAUUCCCCCAGUAGCGGCGAGCGAACGGGGAGCAGCCCGGAGUCUGAAUCAGCUUGUGUGUUAGUGGAAGCGUCUGGAAAGUCGCAGGGUACAGGGUGAUACUCCCGUACACUAAAGCACACAGGUUGUGAACUCGAAGAGUAGGGCGGGACACGUGGUAUCCUGUCUGAAUAUGGGGGGACCAUCCUCCAAGGCUAAAUACUCCUGACUGACCGAUAGUGAACCAGUACCGUGAGGGAAAGGCGAAAAGAACCCCGGCGAGGGGAGUGAAAAAGAACCUGAAACCGUGUACGUACAAGCAGUAGGAGCCCCACCACCAAAGCGUUUCGCUUUGCGUGGUGCGCAAAAUGCGUAACGACAGCGCGAUGGACGGUUAACGGAGCGUAAACGACGUUCAACAUCAAAAAUCAGGCAGUGGAGCGUUUUGGGGUGGGGUGACUGCGUACCUUUUGUAUAAUGGGUCAGCGACUUAUAUUCUGUAGCAAGGUUAACCGUAUAGGGGAGCCGCAGGGAAACCGAGUCUUAACUGGGCGUUAAGUUGCAGGGUAUAGACCCGAAACCCGGUGAUCUAGCCAUGGGCAGGUUGAAGGUUGGGUAACACUAACUGGAGGACCGAACCGACUAAUGUUGAAAAAUUAGCGGAUGACUUGUGGCUGGGGGUGAAAGGCCAAUCAAACCGGGAGAUAGCUGGUUCUCCCCGAAAGCUAUUUAGGUAGCGCCUCGUGAACUCAUCUUCGGGGGUAGAGCACUGUUUCGGCUAGGGGGUCAUCCCGACUUACCAACCCGAUGCAAACUACGAAUACCGAAGAAUGUUAUCACGGGAGACACACGGCGGGUGCUAACGUCCGUCGUGAAGAGGGAAACAACCCAGACCGCCAGCUAAGGUCCCAAAGUCAUGGUUAAGUGGGAAACGAUGUGGGAAGGCCCAGACAGCCAGGAUGUUGGCUUAGAAGCAGCCAUCAUUUAAAGAAAGCGUAAUAGCUCACUGGUCGAGUCGGCCUGCGCGGAAGAUGUAACGGGGCUAAACCAUGCACCGAAGCUGCGGCAGCGACACUAUGUGUUGUUGGGUAGGGGAGCGUUCUGUAAGCCGUUGAAGGUGGCCUGUGAGGGUUGCUGGAGGUAUCAGAAGUGCGAAUGCUGACAUAAGUAACGAUAAUGCGGGUGAAAAACCCGCACGCCGGAAGACCAAGGGUUCCUGUCCAACGUUAAUCGGGGCAGGGUGAGUCGACCCCUAAGGCGAGGCCGAAAGGCGUAGUCGAUGGGAAACAGGUUAAUAUUCCUGUACUCGGUGUUACUGCGAAGGGGGGACGGAGAAGGCUAUGUUGGCCGGGCGACGGUUGUCCCGGUUUAAGCAUGUAGGCGGAUGUUCCAGGUAAAUCCGGAACGUUACUAACGCUGAGGUGUGAUGACGAGGCACUACGGUGCUGAAGUGACAAAUGCCCUGCUUCCAGGAAAAGCCUCUAAGCAUCAGGUAACAUCAAAUCGUACCCCAAACCGACACAGGUGGUCAGGUAGAGAAUACCAAGGCGCUUGAGAGAACUCGGGUGAAGGAACUAGGCAAAAUGGUGCCGUAACUUCGGGAGAAGGCACGCUGAUGGUAGGUGAAGUGACUUGCUCAUGGAGCUGAAAUCAGUCGAAGAUACCAGCUGGCUGCAACUGUUUAUUAAAAACACAGCACUGUGCAAACACGAAAGUGGACGUAUACGGUGUGACGCCUGCCCGGUGCCGGAAGGUUAAUUGAUGGGGUUAUCCGUAAGGAGAAGCUCUUGAUCGAAGCCCCGGUAAACGGCGGCCGUAACUAUAACGGUCCUAAGGUAGCGAAAUUCCUUGUCGGGUAAGUUCCGACCUGCACGAAUGGCGUAAUGAUGGCCAGGCUGUCUCCACCCGAGACUCAGUGAAAUUGAACUCGCUGUGAAGAUGCAGUGUACCCGCGGCAAGACGGAAAGACCCCGUGAACCUUUACUAUAGCUUGACACUGAACACUGGUCCUUGAUGUGUAGGAUAGGUGGGAGGCUUUGAAGUGUGGACGCCAGUCUGCAUGGAGCCAUCCUUGAAAUACCACCCUUUAAUGGCUGGUGUUCUAACGUGGGCCCCUAAUCGGGGUUGCGGACAGUGUCUGGUGGGUAGUUUGACUGGGGCGGUCUCCUCCUAAAGAGUAACGGAGGAGCACGAAGGUCAGCUAAUCCUGGUCGGACAUCAGGAGGUUAGUGCAAUGGCAUAAGCUGGCUUGACUGCGAGCGUGACGGCGCGAGCAGGUGCGAAAGCAGGUCAUAGUGAUCCGGUGGUUCUGAAUGGAAGGGCCAUCGCUCAACGGAUAAAAGGUACUCCGGGGAUAACAGGCUGAUACCGCCCAAGAGUUCAUAUCGACGGCGGUGUUUGGCACCUCGAUGUCGGCUCAUCACAUCCUGGGGCUGAAGUAGGUCCCAAGGGUAUGGCUGUUCGCCAUUUAAAGUGGUACGCGAGCUGGGUUUAGAACGUCGUGAGACAGUUCGGUCCCUAUCUGCCGUGGGCGCUGGAGAAUUGAGGGGGGCUGCUCCUAGUACGAGAGGACCGGAGUGGACGCAUCACUGGUGUUCGGGUUGUCAUGCCAAUGGCAUUGCCCGGUAGCUAAAUGCGGAAGAGAUAAGUGCUGAAAGCAUCUAAGCACGAAACUUGCCCCGAGAUGAGUUCUCCCUGACUCCUUGAGAGUCCUGAAGGAACGUUGAAGACGACGACGUUGAUAGGCCGGGUGUGUAAGCGCAGCGAUGCGUUGAGCUAACCGGUACUAAUGAACCGUGAGGCUUAACCUU